CCUACGGUGUGCAGCAGUGGGGAAUAUUGCACAAUGGGCGAAACCCUGAUGCAGCGACGUAGCGUGAGUGAAGCAGUAUUUCGGUAUGUAAAGCUCUAUCCGUAGGGAAGAAAUAAAGUCCUUGGGACUUUGGACGGUACAUGACUAAGAAGCCCCGGCUAACUACGUGCCAGCAGCCGCGGUAAUACGUAGGAGGCAAUGGUUAUCCGGAUUUACUUGGUGUUAAGGGAGUGUAGACGGCAGUGAAAGUCUGCAGUGAAAUCCGAUGGCUUAACCAUGGAACUGUUUUUGAAACUGUGCAGCGGGAGUGCAGGAGAGGUAGGCGGAAUUCGUAGUGUAGCGGUGAAAUGCUUAGAUAUUAGGAGGAACUCCAGUUGCGAAGGCAGCUGACUGGACUGUAACUGACGUUGAGGCUCGAAAGCGUGGGGAGCAAACAGGAUUAGAUACCCUUGUAGUC
rnacentral:rRNA from 1 species